GAGAGCCGAAUACAUUGAAAGGUGUACGUUCGGUUCGGAGGGGGGCACAGGAAAACCUACUAUCGGAAGAUAGCAAGGCGUUUGGUGCCUACCCUAC
rnacentral:ncRNA from 2 species